rnacentral:rRNA from 1 species
UAGGGAAUCUUCGGCAAUGGACGAAAGUCUGACCGAGCAACGCCGCGUGAGUGAAGAAGGUUCUCGGAUCGUAAAACUCUGUUGUUAGAGAAGAACAAGGACGUUAGUAACUGAACGUCCCCUGACGGUAUCUAACCAGAAAGCCACGGCUAACUACGUGCCAGCAGCCGCGGUAAUACGUAGGUGGCAAGCGUUGUCCGGAUUUAUUGGGCGUAAAGCGAGCGCAGGCGGUUUCUUAAGUCUGAUGUGAAAGCCCCCGGCUCAACCGGGGAGGGUCAUUGGAAACUGGGAGACUUGAGUGCAGAAGAGGAGAGUGGAAUUCCAUGUGUAGCGGUGAGAUGCGUAGAUAUAUGGAGGAACACCAGUGGCGAAGGCGGCUCUCUGGUCUGUAACUGACGCUGAGGCUCGAAAGCGUGGGGAGCAAACAGG